rnacentral:lncRNA from 1 species
UCUUCCGUAUCACCGCAAAGGCUUGCAACCAUCUCUUCAAUGCGGGAAGGUCCUUAAAUACCCUACCCUCCUCAAUAACCAUACUAGGACCAGCUUCAGGAGCUUCUAGGAGCUCAUCAUCACGUCCUUCUGCAAACGCCUGAUCGGAAAGAGUCAGGUCGCUAAACUCAUGAACUAUCGGAUCACGACGUCCGGGGAAUAUACGCCUGAACAUCUCAAUAUCACUCUCUGUCAUCU